AAAAAAAAAAAAAAAAACAGAAAAAACAAACAAACAAAAAGAUCGAUUACGUAUUACUGAUUUGGGGGUUUAUUUUGGCCUUAGGCCGCAGCACGACUCUUCUUGGCCCUGUAGGUCCAUGGGGCUUGAAGUCCAGAUCCCAGGUGGUGCCCGGAAGGAGACUGAGGUAGACGAGAAAGGCAUUCCAGGAGGAGAGGACGGCCAAGCUAAGGGAAGCCAUCCCACAGGACAGCCUCUGGCCAGAACCGAGCUCAGGCAACCUUGUGGCAUGAAGAUCCCCCUACACAAGUGUGGCCACUGCCGGGCUUACGACCCCUCCUCUGAUUCAAGAAGAAAAUCACCAGGACUCCUGCUCGGCCGCUGGUGUGAUGAGGGGCUGAAGGCUGCUGGAGGUGGCUGGUCCUGCCUGCUCUUCCCUCUCCCACCCAAAGGACCUCUGGGGCUCCCCCAGGGCUGAGGAGGGUGGCUAGAGUGGGAGAAGGAGGGCAAAAAGGGAGACAGGGACUGAUCUGGAACACGGAGGGGAUAAGGAUAAUAACAACCGCCUUUCAACAACUCA